AUUGAACGCUGGCGGCAGGCCUAACACAUGCAAGUCGAGCGAUUAAGACUUCCUUCGGGAAGUGUAUAAAGUGGCGCACGGGUGAGUAACACGUAAGUAAUCUACCUUCGAGUGGGGAAUAACAUCGGGAAGCCGAUGCUAAUACCGCAUAAUGCAGCGGCAUCGCAAGAUGACAGUUGUUAAAGGAGCAAUUCGCUUGAAGAGGAGCUUGCGGCAGAUUAGCUAGUUGGUAAGGUAAUGGCUUACCAAGGCUACGAUCUGUAUCCGGUCUAAGAGGACGGUCGGACACACUGACACUGAAUAACGGGUCAGACUCCUACGGGAGGCAGCAGUCGGGAAUUUUGGGCAAUGGGCGAAAGCCUGACCCAGCAACGCCGCGUGAGGGAUGAAGUAUUUCGGUAUGUAAACCUCGAAAGAAUGGGAAGAAUAAAUGACGGUACCAUUUAUAAGCUCCGGCUAACUACGUGCCUACAGCAGCCGCUGUAA
rnacentral:rRNA from 1 species